rnacentral:tRNA from 1 species
GAGGGUACAGCUCAGUGGUAGAGUGUGUGCCUAGCGUGCAUGAGGUCCUGGGUUCAAUCCCUAGUGCCUCUA